UUGGAGGGCAAGUCUGGUGCCAGCAGCCGCGGUAAUUCCAGCUCCAAUAGCGUAUAUUAAAGUUGUUGCAGUUAAAAAGCUCGUAGUUGAAUUUUGGAUUCUUCCAAUUGGUCCAUCUUUUAGAUGAGUACUGGUUGUGUGGGGUCUAUCCGCCUGGUGAUACGUAAUGUCCUUUAUUGGAUGUUGCGGGUAGUCAGGACCUUUACCUUGAAAAAAUUAGAGUGUUUAAAGCAGGCUUAUGCCGGAAUACAUUAGCAUGGAAUAAUAGAAUAGGACGAAGUUGUUUUAUUUUGUUGGUCUCUAGGACAACCGUAAUGAUUAAUAGGGAUAGUUGGGGGCAUUAGUAUUCAAUUGUCAGAGGUGAAAUUCUUGGAUUUAUUGAAGACUAACUACUGCGAAAGCAUUUGCCAAGGAUGUUUUCAUUAAUCAAGAACGAAAGUUAGGGGAUCGAAGACGAUCAGAUACCGUCGUAGUCUUAACCAUAAACUAUGCCGACUAGGGAUCGGGCGAUGUUGUUUCCAUGACUCGCUCGGCACCUUAUGGGAAACCAAAG
rnacentral:rRNA from 1 species